AAGGGUGCUGUCACGAGUUGGGACAAGAUGCUAGGCAAUCUCAGGAAUUAGAUUUUGUUGGAAUUUAGGGACAUUGCAGAAACACUGUCAACUGAAGUGGCAGAAGACUCUAGCCAUGUGGCAAAGCUGCGAACAGCUUUAGAAGCUGUUGAUGCAAAAAAAAGAAAGG